rnacentral:rRNA from 1 species
AUUGAACGCUGGCGGCAGGCUUAACACAUGCAAGUCGAGCGGGGGAAGGUAGCUUGCUACCGGACCUAGCGGCGGACGGGUGAGUAAUGCUUAGGAAUCUGCCUAUUAGUGGGGGACAACAUCUCGAAAGGGAUGCUAAUACCGCAUACGUCCUACGGGAGAAAGCAGGGGAUCUUCGGACCUUGCGCUAAUAGAUGAGCCUAAGUCGGAUUAGCUAGUUGGUGGGGUAAAGGCCUACCAAGGCGACGAUCUGUAGCGGGUCUGAGAGGAUGAGCCGCCACACUGGGACUGAGACACGGCCCAGACUCCUACGGGAGGCAGCAGUGGGGAAUAUUGGACAAUGGGGGGAACCCUGAUCCAGCCAUGCCGCGUGUGUGAAGAAGGCCUUAUGGUUGUAAAGCACUUUAAGCGAGGAGGAGGCUACUCUAGUUAAUACCUAGGGAUAGUGGACGUUACUCGCAGAAUAAGCACCGGCUAACUCCGUGCCAGCAGCCGCCGUAA